GCACAAGCGGUGGAUGAUGUGGAUUAAUUCGAUGCAACGCGAAAACCUUACCCACCUUUGACAUGUACGGAAUCCUUUAGAGAUAGAGGAGUGCUCGAAAGAGAGCCGUAACACAGGUGCUGCAUGGCUGUUGUCAGCUCGUGUCGUGAGAUGUUGGGUUAAGUCCCGCAACGAGCGCAACCCUUGUCAUUAGUUGCUACAUUCAGUUGGGCACUCUAAUGAGACUGCCGGUGACAAACCGGAGGAAGGUGGGGAUGACGUCAAGUCCUCAUGGCCCUUAUAGGUGGGGCUACACACGUCAUACAAUGGAUGGUACAAAGGGUCGCCAACCCGCGAGGGGGAGCCAAUCCCAUAAAGCCAUUCGUAGUCCGGAUCGCAGUCUGCAACUCGACUGCGUGAAGUCGGAAUCGCUAGUAAUCGUGGAUCAGAAUGUCACGGUGAAUACGUUCCCGGGUCUU
rnacentral:rRNA from 1 species